rnacentral:rRNA from 1 species
GGACGUGCUACCUGGUUGAUC